CCCUGAUAGGCCGCCCUGUGUGACAUGCUCGCGGGCUGGGCCCGGCCGCAGCAUGCGGUGUUGGUGGCGGCUGCCCCGCGGACUUGCUGAAAUGGAAAAGAAGAGGGGAAAAAAAUAAUGAGAAAAGUCGGGGUCGGGGGAGCUCGGCCGCGCCCGCCACAGGCGGCAGGGCCGGAGCUAGGCCCGGGACCGCCAGCUGCCUACGAAAUAAGCCCGCUGCCGCCAUAACCGCGCCCGGGGCUCUAAGUCAGAAGAAUCUUGGACUAUGAGUACAACUGAAUGAAAAGCCUCCUGCGCUUAUAGUGGAAAGUAUAGCAAAAAAUGAAUUAGAAUGAAAAAGACGAUACAAACGGGAUGCCAGAGAUGCUGAAAAAAUGUGUCUGGCACAUGCAUCCGUGACCCCUUACAGCGCACAGGCAAGAGGGGAAAACAGCAGUACUGCAAAAACCAUGCAUAGAAGUUUAAAAGAAUUACUGAACUCUACACAAUAGGCUAACCUGCUGAAAAAAGAAACAGUGGAAAGCUCUGAGAAAUGCAGUCAAGAGUUCCUGCCAGCUUUCCAACUCUUGCCAGCAUAUUCAGCUGCCUUUCGUCAUUUGGAUAUACAGAAGCCAUCUACCAGAAUAGCCUGGGUCGUGGCAUACAGGCUGAACAGGAAGGAGCUCAGCACCUUUCCUGUCCACACCAUCCUAUUUGCACUGCUAACUUUGCAUCCUUAUCUCAGAUAGCUGCUGUACAUCUGUUGCCUAAAAUUGGUUGGUUUUAACAUGAGCAAGUAGUUUUAAGCUGUGCUGUGAUCACACAUACGUCCAUCUUCAGGCCAAAAGUGCUGAAGCCUGUAAUCAGUCCUCCUGCAGAACAGCACUUGCACACACAAGUGGUCCCAUUGAUUUUAAUUGAACUAUUUGAGUAAGAGCUAUUCAGCGUACGGGAGGGCUGCAGAAUAUUGUCCUCUGGUUAUGCCUUGGCAAAAGAUGUCAGCUACAGUUUCCUUUUAAGAGGGUAAUAGUGAUUCAGAUUAAAAUAAGGAUUUUGCUGUAGUCUUUUUACAGGGUUGUAAUAAAACUACAUACACAUUGUCUGUAUCU